AAUAAAGAGAUGAAAAAGAUAAAAGGAUUAUAUUCUUCUUCUUCCGUAAGAAAACAUGUGAAAGAGAUGCAAUGCUAAGGCAAGUCGACUCACUCUUUAUUACGAUGAUGCAUGAUGAUAUGGAGGCUUAAGGUUCAGGUUUUGAGGAUCACAAUGGGGCAACGAUGUCAUCAGAGGAGUCUCAGUGGAAGUACCAGAAUACAACGAUGAAGACUUAAGUGAGAAUGUAAAGAUUAUGAUUUUAUUCGAGUUUGUUGCAAUUUUUUUAUUUAAGUAUUUUGGUUUUCAAAUAAAGGAGCUCCACAUUUUAUAAAUGCUUAUUUUUUUUAUAUUCCACAUUAUUGGAUUUUAACUUUUAAGUAAAUUGUAUUUUUCUAAGUCUUGA